rnacentral:tRNA from 1 species
UUCCUGAUAGCUCAGUUGGUAAAUAAUCUGUCUGCAAUGCAGGAGACCCCAGUUCAAUUUCUGGGUUGGGAAG